UACGGGGGGGGCAAGCGUUGUUCGGAAUUACUGGGCGUAAAGGGCUCGUAGGUGGCCAACUAAGUCAGACGUGAAAUCCCUCAGCUUAACUGGGGAACUGCGUCUGAUACUGGAUGGCUUGAGUUUGGGAGAGGGAUGCGGAAUUCCAGGUGUAGCGGUGAAAUGCGUAGAUAUCAGGAGGAACACCCGUGGCGAAGGCGGCUUCCUGGGGCCAUCCUGACACUGAGAAGCGAAAGCUAGGGGAGCGAACGGG
rnacentral:rRNA from 1 species